rnacentral:rRNA from 1 species
GACGAACGCUGGCGGCGUGCUUAACACACGCAAGUCGAACGGAAAGGCCCUUCGGGGUACUCGAGUGGCGAACGGGUGAGUAACACGUGGGUGAUCUGCCCUGCACUUUGGGAUAAGCCUGGGAAACUGGGUCUAAUACCGAAUAGGACCACGCGCUUCAUGGUGUGUGGUGGAAAGCUUUUGCGGUGUGGGAUGGGCCCGCGGCCUAUCAGCUUGUUGGUGGGGUAAUGGCCUACCAAGGCGACGACGGGUAGCCGGCCUGAGAGGGUGACCGGCCACACUGGGACUGAGAUACGGCCCAGACUCCUACGGGAGGCAGCAGUGGGGAAUAUUGCACAAUGGGCGCAAGCCUGAUGCAGCGACGCCGCGUGAGGGAUGACGGCCUUCGGGUUGUAAACCUCUUUCAAUAGGGACGAAGCGCAAGUGACGGUACCUAUAGAAGAAGCACCGGCCAACUACGUG